rnacentral:rRNA from 1 species
UACGAAGGGGGCUAGCGUUGUCCGGAAUUAUUGGGCGUAAAGGGCUCGUAGGCGGUCUGUCGCGUCGGGAGUGAAAACUCAGGGCUUAACCCUGAGCCUGCUUCCGAUACGGGCAGACUAGAGGUAUGCAGGGGAGAACGGAAUUCCUGGUGUAGCGGUGGAAUGCGCAGAUAUCAGGAGGAACACCGGUGGCGAAGGCGGUUCUCUGGGCAUUACCUGACGCUGAGGAGCGAAAGUGUGGGGAGCGAACAGG